rnacentral:lncRNA from 1 species
AGAAAUUUACGUGGUCUAGUAAUACUUUUAAAUUUAUUUCUAACUAUUUUAAAGGAAUAGUUAUGGACUACUUCUUUUCCUAUUUAUAGAAAAAUUAAUAUUUAAAUACAACAAGUAGAGAUGAUUGAAUCAUAAGCAUUCCAUUAAAAAAAAAAACAAAUCUUAAAAUUAAAAAUGAGAAAAAGUGUAGAUAUCUUUUGUUUCAUCACAUGUAUCAUGAUUUUCUUGUUGUUAACAGGUUAUAAACAUUAUGAUACAUUUCAAGUUUUUUUUUUUUUUUUUUUUGUGUUUCAGUUACCGGCUAUUGUUUAUUAUUCUUUCUUUUCUAAAUCACAUAGGAAAAAAACCUUUCUAGUUUUGGAACUUAUAUUUGCAAGUGUUUAUCACAAAAAUUAUUAGUAAAAUUAUCAUGAUCCCAUUACAUUUAAUUAAAUACCAUUAUUCUCAUUAGAUUCAGGAUGAACCACAAUUAUGAGGCAAGAAAAUUAUGACAUGUUAGAUCUAAUUGACCUUUCAUAUAAUAUACAGUAGUGUACUUUAUUUUUUACCUUAGUAAAAACAAAUAUAUCAUUUACUAAUUAUUAUGGGAUUUUGAAUGUUUCUUACAUAUUGACAUGUUUAUAAAUUUUAUUAGGAGUAUCAAAAGGACAGGCUCCGGUGAAGCCGAAGCCUGUACCUGCACCGAGCCAAUGUCGCAGUUCUACUAAGCAACGAGCAUCUUUCGCAUCUGGACUUUGUAAUAAACCUAAAAAUGGUUUAAGAGAAUGCAAGAAAUCUUGCAAGGCUCAUCAUUAUACUGAUGGCGUCUGUGAAUUGUAUAAUGACAUCUAUGGGGUUUAUAUUGGUUGUUCUUGUAUACAAUGCGGAUGAGGGGAUCAUACCAUGAAACACAUUACGGUUAACUCAUCGCCUCCAAUUAAUGUUUAAAAUAUAUGUAUGUUUCAAAAGAUCAAAUUAGUGUAUUUGUAAUUUUAAAAUUUUGAUAUAAUAUUUUUAGAAAUUAUUUAUACAUGUUCCAAAUUAAAA